rnacentral:rRNA from 1 species
UACAGAGGGUGCAAGCGUUAAUCGGAAUUACUGGGCGUAAAGCGUGCGUAGUCGGUUACCUAAGUCGGGUGUGAAAUCCCCGGGCUCAACCUGGGAAUUGCAUUCGAUACUGGAUAGCUAGAGUUCGGCAGAGGGAAGCGGAAUUUCGGGUGUAGCGGUGAAAUGCGCAGAUAUCAGGAGGAACACCGGUGGCGAAGGCGGAUCUCUGGGCCAGUAUUGACGCUGAGGAGCGAAAGCGUGGGUAGCAAACAGG